rnacentral:rRNA from 1 species
UGAGUACGAGAUGCUACGGCAUCGAAGCAGUCUAUGUCAUACUUCCAAGAAAAGCUUGCAAUGUCAUAAACAAAUAAUGCCUGUACCAUAACCGACACAGGUGGGUAGGUAGAGUAUACUAAGGGGCGCGUGAUAACUCCCUCUAAGGAACUCGGCAAAAUGACUCCGUAACUUCGGGAGAAGGAGUGCCUUAUUUUUAUAAGGUUGCAAUAACAAGAUCCAAGCAACUGUUUACCAAAAACACAGGUCUCCGCUAAGUCGUAAGACGAUGUAUGGGGGCUGACGCCUGCCCAGUGCCAGAAGGUUAAAGAAGUUGGUUAGCAUUAGCGAAGCUGAUAACUGAAGCCCUGGUGAACGGCGGCCGUAACUAUAACGGUCCUAAGGUAGCGAAAUUCCUUGUCGGGUAAGUUCCGACCCGCACGAAAGGCGUAAUGAUUUGGAUACUGUCUCGGAGAGGGGCUCGGUGAAAUAGACUUGUCUGUGAAGAUGCGGACUACCUGCACCUGGACAGAAAGACCCUAUGAAGCUUUACUGUAGCUUGAGAUUGAAAUUGGACUUUAUCUGCGCAGUAUAGGUGGGAGACGUUGAAAAUAUUCUUGCGGGAAUAUUGGAGUCAUCAGUGAGAUACCACUCUUAUAAUGUUAGAUUUCUAACUUUGUAUCAUUAUCUGGUCAAAGAACAGUUUCAGGCGGGCAGUUUGACUGGGGCGGUCGCCUCCCAAACGGUAACGGAGGCGCACAAAGGUUUCCUCUGAACGUGUAGAAAUCGUAUCUAGAGUGUAAGGGCAUAAGGAAGCUUGACUGUGAGACCUACAAGUCGAGCAGGGACGAAAGUCGGUCUUAGUGAUCUGACGGUGCUGAGUGGAAAGGCCGUCACUCAACGGAUAAAAGUUACUCUAGGAUAACAGGCUGAUCUCCCCCAAGAGCUCACAUCGACGGGGAGGUUUGGCACCUCGAUGUCGGCUCAUCGCAUCCUGGGGCGGUAGUACGUCCCAAGGGUUGGGCUGUUCGCCCAUGAAAGCGGUACGCGAGCUGGGUUCAGAACGUCGUGAGACAGUUCGGUCCAUAUCCGGUGUAGGCGUUAGAAUAUUGAGAGGAGCCUACUUUAGUACGAGAGGACCGAGAAGGACAUACCUCUGGUGUACCAGUUAUCGUGCCAACGGUAAACGCUGGGUAGCCAUGUAUGGAGAGGAUAACCGCUGAAAGCAUCUAAGUGGGAAGCCCACCUCAAGAUAAGUAUUCUC